rnacentral:rRNA from 1 species
CCUACGGGUGGCAGCAGUGAGGAAUAUUGGUCAAUGGGCGCGAGCCUGAACCAGCCAAGUCGCGUGAGGGAGGACGGCCCUACGGGUUGUAAACCUCUUUUGCCGGGGAGCAACGGGCGUCACGUGUCGCGCCACUGAGAGUACCCGGAGAAAAAGCAUCGGCUAACUCCGGGCCAGCAGCCGCGUUAAUACGGAGGAUGCGAGCGUUAUCCGGAUUUAUUGGGUUUAAAGGGUGCGUAGGCGGAUCGCUAAGUCAGCGGUAAAAUUGAGGGGCUAACCCCCUUCCCGCCGUUGAAACUGGCGCUCUUGAGUGGGAGAGAAGUAUGCGGAAUGCGUGGUGUAGCGGUGAAAUGCAUAGAUAUCACGCAGAACCCCGAUUGCGAAGGCAGCAUGCCGGCUUCCGACUGACGCUGAAGCACGAAAGCGUGGGGAUCGAACAGGAUUAGAUACCCGAGUAGUC